rnacentral:rRNA from 1 species
AGUGAACGCUGGCGGUAGGCCUAACACAUGCAAGUCGAACGGCAGCACAGUCAGAGCUUGCUCUUACGGGUGGCGAGUGGCGGACGGGUGAGGAAUACAUCGGAAUCUACUUUUUCGUGGGGGAUAACGUAGGGAAACUUACGCUAAUACCGCAUACGACCUACGGGUGAAAGCAGGGGAUCUUCGGACCUUGCGCGAUUGAAUGAGCCGAUGUCGGAUUAGCUAGUUGGCGGGGUAAAGGCCCACCAAGGCGACGAUCCGUAGCUGGUCUGAGAGGAUGAUCAGCCACACUGGAACUGAGACACGGUCCAGACUCCUACGGGAGGCAGCAGUGGGGAAUAUUGGACAAAGGGCGCAAGCCUGAUCCAGCCAUACCGCGUGGGUGAAGAAGGCCUUCGGGUUGUAAAGCCCUUUUGUUGGGAAAGAAAAGCAGCAGGUUAAUACCCCGCUGUUCUGACGGUACCCAAAGAAUAAGCACCGGCUAACUUCGUG